AACUCUUCCACCGAUUUCCCAUACAGGGAACACGAUUCGUUGAAGUUUAAAUCGGGUGUCGGGGCGAGGAUGCGGUCGUCGUCGCGCCGGAAAUGGCAGAGCAGGGAAGAACGGCGGAUUGACAAGGAGUAUGAUAUAGUGAUUGUGCCGUCGGAUGGGGGGUGUAUGUCCGGGUCGGAGUCGGAUGAUUCGGAUUGGUCGAUUGGGUGGAUGGAGCCUCACGCUGCUGAUUUCUUGAGUGAUAGCGAGUCGGAGAGUAGCUUUGCAGUUCUGGUCCCUUGCUAUGGACGUGGCAGGGGUGAUACGAG
rnacentral:misc_RNA from 1 species